rnacentral:rRNA from 1 species
GUUGCAGUUAAAAGCUCGUAGUUGAACCUUGGGCCUGGCUGGCCGGUCCGCCUCACCGCGUGCACUGGUCCGGCCGGGCCUUUCCCUCUGGGGAACCGCAUGCCCUUCACUGGGUGUGUCGGGGAACCAGGACUUUUACUUUGAACAAAUUAGAUCGCUUAAAGAAGGCCUAUGCUCGAAUACAUUAGCAUGGAAUAAUAGAAUAGGACGUGUGGUUCUAUUUUGUUGGUUUCUAGGACCGCCGUAAUGAUUAAUAGGGACAGUCGGGGGCAUCAGUAUUCAAUUGUCAGAGGUGAAAUUCUUGGAUUAAUUGAAGACUAACUACUGCGAAAGCAUUUGCCAAGGAUGUUUUCAUUAAUCAGGAACGAAAGUUAGGGGAUCGAAGACGAUCAGAUACCGUCGUAGUCUUAACCAUAAACUAUGCCGACUAGGGAUCGGACGAUGUUAUAUUUUGACUCGUUCGGCACCUUACACGAAAGUAAAGUUUCUGGGUUCUGGGGGGAGUAUGGUCGCAAGGCUGAAACUUAAAGAAAUUGACGGAAGGGCACCACCAGGGGUGGAGCCUGCGGCUUAAUUUGACUCAACACGGGGAAACUCACCAGGUCCAGACACAAGUAGGAUUGACAGAUUGAGAGCUCUUUCUUGAUUUUGUGGGUGGUGGUGCAUGGCCGUUCUUAGUUGGUGGAGUGAUUUGUCUGCUUAAUUGCGAUAACGAACGAGACCUUAACCUGCUAAAUAGCCCGUAUUGCUUUGGCAGUACGCUGGCUUCUUAGAGGGACUAUCGGCUCAAGCCGAUGGAGUUUGAGCAUACAGUCUGUGAUGCCCUUAGAUGUCUGGGCCGCACGCGCGCUACACUGAC